rnacentral:misc_RNA from 1 species
GGAUGAUUCAGUUCCUCAAGGCGGUGGCAGAGCUUGCUGGCGGCGCAGCCGCCCCGUCAGUCCCGCCGGUCUGGUCCCGGGAGCGGCUGAUGGCGCGGCAGCCGCCUCGAGUCACCCACCACCACCCAGCAUACGAUCUCCUACCGAAAGAGGAUGCUGUGGAUGCGCCGGCUGUGGUGAGGUCAUUCUUUUUCGGCACAAGUGAGUUGGAUGUGCUCCGCCUACAACUCCCGCCAGUAUUCAAGUGCUCACGGUUCGAGUUACUGACGGCCAGCCUCUGGUGGUGCCGAGUGGCAGCGCUUGCAGUCCCUCCUGGAGAGGAAGUCCGUGCUAGGUUUGUUAUCAAUGCACGGAGCUUGUCUACCCCACCAUUAUCGGCGGGGUUCUACGGCAACGCCAUAGGCUAUGCAGUGGCGC